rnacentral:rRNA from 1 species
AAUCAACGCUGGCGGCGUGCCUCAGACAUGCAAGUCGAACGAUUAAAGCUCCCUUCGGGGAGUGCAUAAAGUGGCGCACGGGUGAGUAACACGUAAGUAAUCUACCCUCGAGUGGGGAAUAACGUCCGGAAACGGACGCUAAUACCGCAUAAUGCAGCGGCACCGCAAGGUGACAGUUGUUAAAGAUUUAUCGCUUGAGGAGGCGCUUGCGGCAGAUUAGCUAGUUGGUAAGGUUAUGGCUUACCAAGGCCGCGAUCUGUAACCGGUCUAAGAGGACGGUCGGUCACACUGACACUGAAUAACGGGUCAGACUCCUACGGGAGGCAGCAGUCGGGAAUUUUGGGCAAUGGGCGAAAGCCUGACCCAGCAACGCCGCGUGAAGGAUGAAGUAUUUCGGUAUGUAAACUUCGAAAGAAUGGGAAGAAUAAAUGACGGUACCAUUUAUAAGCUCCGGCUAACUACGUGCCAGCCGCCGCGGUAACAC